AUUGAACGCUGGCGGCAUGCCUUACACAUGCAAGUCGAACGGCAGCACGGGUGCUUGCACCUGGUGGCGAGUGGCGAACGGGUGAGUAAUACAUCGGAACAUGUCCUGUAGUGGGGGAUAGCCCGGCGAAAGCCGGAUUAAUACCGCAUACGAUCUACGGAUGAAAGCGGGGGACCUUCGGGCCUCGCGCUAUAGGGUUGGCCGAUGGCUGAUUAGCUAGUUGGUGGGGUAAAGGCCUACCAAGGCGACGAUCAGUAGCUGGUCUGAGAGGACGACCAGCCACACUGGGACUGAGACACGGCCCAGACUCCUACGGGAGGCAGCAGUGGGGAAUUUUGGACAAUGGGCGAAAGCCUGAUCCAGCAAUGCCGCGUGUGUGAAGAAGGCCUUCGGGUUGUAAAGCACUUUUGUCAGGAAAGAACUCCUUGGCACUAAUACGGUCGCGGGAUGACGGUACCGGAAGAAUAAGCACCGGCUAACUACGUG
rnacentral:rRNA from 1 species